UACGUAGGCAGCAAGCGUUGUUCGGAAUUACUGGGCGUAAAGAGUGCGUAGGUGGUGCCCUAAGUCUGUUGUGAAAUCUCCCGGCUUAACUGGGAGGGUGCGGUGGAAACUGGGGUGCUUGAGUGUGGGAGAGGUAAGCGGAAUUCCUGGUGUAGCGGUGAAAUGCGUAGAUAUCAGGAGGAACACCGGUGGUGUAGACGGCUUACUGGACCGCGACUGACACUGAGGCACGAAAGCGUGGGUAGCAAACAGG
rnacentral:rRNA from 1 species